GUGAAAUGAUGAUUCAGUUUAUCCAUUCGCUGAGUGCGCUGCACUGACCUUCUUCCAAGCUUCUGUUCCUGUUCUAGGAACUUGGGGCCAUGUAGCCUCCAAAUGCCCUGCAGUCUGUGGUGUUCUAUCGUGGACAGCUGGUGUGUUUGGUGGACUACCGGAAAGGGGUUGGUGUCGGCAGAGAUGGUCCCUCUGGGUCCUGUCUCGCCAAGAUGAGUGGUGGAAAUCUGAUCAC
ensembl:snoRNA small nucleolar RNA, C/D box 17